CGCGCAGGCGGACUGAUCAGUCCGGGGUGAAAUCUCACGGCUCAACUGUGAGCGGUCCCUGGAUACUGUCAGCCUUGAGAUGUCUAGAGGAGAGCGGAAUUCCCGGUGUAGUGGUGGAAUGCGUAGAUAUCGGGAAGAACACCAGUGGCGAAAGCGGCUCUCUGGGGACCAUCUGACGCUGAGGCGCGAAAGCGUGGGGAGCGAACCGGAUUAGAUACCCGGGUAGUCCACGCCGUAAACGAUGAGCACUAGCUGUCGGGGGUAUCGACCCCUCCGGUAGCGCAGCUAACGCGAUAAGUGCUCCGCCUGGGGACUACGGCCGCAAGGCUAAA
rnacentral:rRNA from 1 species